rfam:Drosophila virilis strain TSC#15010-1051.87 Ctg01_14972, whole genome shotgun sequence.
UGCAAGUGCACUCUGUGUCACAUUGAUUUGCCACAUGUGAUGACAAUUUGUUAACUUGCCAGAUCAAACCAAAGCUGCGUUUAUCCAUGUGAUUGUGUCCUUAAGACUAGUUGCAUUGAAAACGCGCCUUACACUCC